AUGGCCGCCGGGGGGCGCGCCCACGGCACGGCGCACGCGCGCCGCCGCCGGCCCGCCCCCUUUCCCGUCCUCCCGCGCGCCGGCCCCCGCCCCCUCGCCGGCGGCGCCCCCUCCCAGCGUCCUCGGCCUCACCCCCUUUCUGGCUGCUCCCGCCGGUCCCCGGCUCCGAGCCCGGAAGUGGAUAUCGCUGCUCGGCUGAGGGGGCGCGGGGGAGGGGGAAGUGCUUCCGGGGGAAACGGGCCCCGGGUUGGUGUUUGUAAACUUGCCUCGGUCCCGGCAGGGCAGCGGCGGGCCCCAGGCUUGGCACGGGGCGCUGGGGCCUGGAGGAGGCGCCGCGCGGCGGGGGGAGGCCGCGGGAGGCCGCGCCCGGCAGGUAGGGGCGCGCCUCGGGGAGCGCGGCGGCGUCCGGGCGGGCGGCAGCGCCUCGGCAGCGCGCAGGCCGUGGGGCGCCGCGCGGGAGGGGGAGGGGGAGGGGAAGGCGGGAGGGGGCCGGCCGGGGCGGGCCGGGGCGCGCCGGGAGCGCCGGGGACGCGCGCGCUGCGCCCCCCGCCCGCCUGGAGGGCCGCGUCCCCGGCCGGCGGAGGGGUGGCCUGGCGGGGGCGCGGGCGCGGGCGCGCUCGUCCUCGGGGCGGCUGGAGGGGAGGGGAGGGGGAGGAGGGGACGCGCGGCGCCGACCUGCCCGCCUGCCUGCCUCCCUCCUGCCGGCCUGCCCGCCUGCCUGCCCGCCCGCCUGCCCGCCUGCCUGCUGCCGGCCUGCUUGCCCGCCUGCCUCCUGCCUGCUGCCCGCCCGCCCGCCUGCCUCCUGCCGGCCUGCUUGCCCGCCUGCCUGCCCGCCCGCCUGCCCGCCGGCCUGCCUGCCCGCCCGCCUGCCCGCCGGCCUGCCUGCCUGCUUGCCGGCCUGCCCGCCUCCUGCCUGCUUACCCGCCUGCCUGCCUGCCUCCUGCCUGCCUCCUGCCCGCCUGCCUGCAUGCCCGCCUGCCUGCCUCCUGCCCGCCUGCUUGCAUGCCCCGCUUGCCCCGCCUCCCCGCCGCCGCAGCGAGUCUCCGUACCUUCGGGCGGACUCGGGGAGCGCGCACGUGUGGGCCGGCCCGGCGCACCCUGCCAGUCGGCCUGCUGCCUGGCUGCCCCGGCUGCCCGAGCGAGCGUCCGGCGGUCGCCUCCGAGCAUUUCUCUACUCCCCGGUGCUGGCCUCCUUAA
rnacentral:lncRNA from 1 species